rnacentral:rRNA from 1 species
CCUACGGGAGGCAGCAGUAGGGAAUUUUCGUCAAUGGGCGCAAGCCUGAACGAGCGAUGCCGCGUGAGUGAAGAAGGCCUUCGGGUCGUAAAGCUCUGUUGCGGGGGAAAAAAGGCAGCAUCAGGAAAUGGGUGCUGACUGAUGGUGCCCCGCCAGAAAGUCACGGCUAACUACGGGCCAGCAGCCGCGGUAAUACGUAGGUGGCGAGCGUUAUCCGGAAGGAUUGGGCGUAAAGGGUGCGCAGGCGGUCCUGCAAGUCUGGAGUGAAACGCAUGAGCUCAACUCAUGCAUGGCUGUGGAAACUGGAGGACUGGAGAGCGGGAGAGGGCGGUGGAACUCCAUGUGUAGCGGUAAAAUGCGUAGAUAUAUGGAAGAACACCAGUGGCGAAGGCGGCCGCCUGGCCUGUUGCUGACGCUGAGGCACGAAAGCGUGGGGAGCAAAUAGGAUUAGAUACCCCAGUAGUC